UACGGAGGGAGCUAGCGUUGUUCGGAAUUACUGGGCGUAAAGCGCGCGUAGGCGGCUUUGUAAGUUAGAGGUGAAAGCCCGGAGCUCAACUCCGGAACUGCCUUUAAAACUGCAUCGCUUGAAUCCAGGAGAGGUGAGUGGAAUUCCGAGUGUAGAGGUGAAAUUCGUAGAUAUUCGGAAGAACACCAGUGGCGAAGGCGGCUCACUGGACUGGUAUUGACGCUGAGGCACGAAAGCGUGGGGAGCAAACAGG
rnacentral:rRNA from 1 species